GCCUAGAUAGCUUAGUGGUAAAGCACUUCCUUGGUAAGGAAGAGACCGUGGGUCCGAUCCCCACUCUAGGCU
rnacentral:tRNA from 1 species